rnacentral:sRNA from 1 species
UCAUCCUGGCCUUCUUGCGGUAGACCGGGC